rnacentral:rRNA from 1 species
GUCACACCAUGAGAGUUGGGAAUACCCGAAGCCUGUGAGCUAACUUUUAGAGGCAGCAGUCGAAGGUAGAAUCAAUGAUUGGGGUGAAGUCGUAACAAGGUAAC